ensembl:lncRNA
UAUCCACUCGCCAUAGGUGUGUGCGUGUGUGGCUGCCGCUCGGUUCGGCCGCUGCGUGCUCCGCCGGGACUCACCCCUGGUUUGGUCUGUGUGUGCGUGUUUUGAGUUAAUCUCAUAAAUUGUGGUGUCGUUGUUCAUUUAAUUUCCAUUUGGAAGGGGAACUUCUCAAUCUGAGCCCUUGUUUAUUUUUGUUUAAAACAUAUGUUAUGGUUAGGCUACUUGUUGAGUUGAUAUCUCUGGUCAGAGACUUGAUUUUUACAUGUGUUGGUUUGUUAUGUGAUAUUGUUUGUCAGUUGUGAGCCCUCCUAACCAUAGACAUCUUAUAGAUAGACGGAGCAUUGGCUGCUGGGACGCGAGAAAUACGGCCGCCAUCUUGGAGUGGUCAACCGGGAGCAGCAACAGCAGCAGAAACAGGAUGCCGGGCUGUUGUUCAGCGUAUUCCUGCACAAAUCGGCGGACAAUCCAUAAUAGGAAUCGGGGGAUUACUUUUCACAAGCAAGAUUUAACAUUACCGUACUAUUGGUAUAAUUAGUAUUGAAUAAUAAAACACGCCAAACCAUGUGGCCUUUAUCAUAGCUACACGUAUGACAAAAAAACGCAUGAAAAUCAGUGGUAUUCAGUGAGGUAUGAUUAAUUAAAUGCGCUGACAGUUCAUUGCUCCAGCCAAACGGAUUACACCGAGUGGAGCGGAUGACCACUCCAAGAUGGCGGCCCCGCUUUGUUUAAGAUUUUAUUCGUAUGUACUUCACGUUUUUGCUGUGUGUGUGAGGUGCUCUUGUUUCUUUUGUUGGAUUUAAUUUUCCCCUGACGACCACUCCUCCAGCCGGUCCCCUCCGUGACUUCUAUGACGAGAUUGAUGCCCUCCUCAGCUGCUUUCCUGAGGAUGGCACACCACUCGUUAUCCGACUUCAACAUCCUGCCAGAGAAGUUACACUCACCUGAACUAACCAACUUUUUCGUCACCUUUGACUUAACUCUAUCCCCUUCUCCUCCCACACACAGGGCCGGGAACCAGCUUGACCUAAUAUUCACUAGGUCCAGCGGCACCUCUGCUCUCCCCGUUAUCCCGCUCCCCGUGUCUGACCAUCACUUUGUUGAUUUUUCAUCUCCCCUUGAUAUCCUCUCCCCCCCUCCUCUCUAGCCCCCACAUUGUCACCACCCGCUGUAACCUCAAAUCCCACUCUCCCUCUAUGUUUGCCUCCACUGUUCUGUCUUCACUACCUUCUAUCGAACGAUUCUCACAACUAUCUACAGAGGAAUCUUCAGACACUCUGCUAUCCUCCCUCUCCUCCUC